GUGGUGUCCCACGGCUGCCGGCACGGGAUGGCCCUGCAGCGGGGCCUCACAACCAUGUGGGCUUCAGCCGCAUACCGGAACAGUGCACACUCGGCUGCGCUGGAGGUAUGGGGCUGGGGCACCAACACUCCCCCCCCGCCACCCCCUUACAGGCCCGAGGCCUUACAGCCCACACAAACAAAGCAUUUACCCAACUGGAAGGAGGUGGGACUUUUAUCCGUCCAAGCAGGAUUCCCUCAGUAAUGGCGAGUGAAGAGGGAAGAGCCUAGCACUGAAUCGCGUUCAGCGGCAGCUGUGGGAAAUGUGGCGUACUGAAGACUGACUCCCAGUAUCGCUCAGGGAAAGUUGAAAAGAAUUUUGAAGAGAGAGUUCAAGAGGGCGUGAAACCAUCGAGAGGUAAACAGUUGGGGUCCAUGCAGUCUUCCCGCAGGAUUGAAGAUGGCUGGCAGGUCGGUCGCUUGGAACAGCGGAUGCCCUCGUGGGACUCCUGGCUGGGUACACCUGGCCCCAGCAAGGUGCAUUUCCGGUGUUACAACUCCCUGACAGCAGUUUUGCUGUGGCCGAGGGAGAUUGACCGCUGCCGCACUCUUCUCCGGCAACCGCCUCAGCACCUCUUGGGGGUUGCCGGGGCAGAGACAGAGCUCCCGAUGCUAGUGUCGACUGUGGUGGACUGCCAUCAGUGCGCUCGACCAUGUUGCACCGCUGGGCGGGGAGGCCCAUGAAGGACGCCAGGGGUCUGAGGUGAUGUUGUUUACCCACGCGACCCGUCUUGAAACACGGACCAAGGAGUUUAACACGUGCGUGAGGCGGAGGGCGAACAAAACCCUGUGGCGCUAAGAAGGUGAGCGUUGGCGCACGCUGGCUGGGAUCCCGGCGCAGUGGGUGUACCACCGGCCCGUCUCGCCUGCUCUGUCAGAGAGGUGGAGCAUGAGCGUGUGUGAUAGGACCCGAAAGAUGGUGAACUAGGCCUAGGCAGGGCAAAGCCAGAGGAAAAACUGGUGGUGGUCCGUAGCAGUCCUGACGUGCAAAUCGGUCAUCCGACCUGGGUAUAGGGGCGAAAGACUAAUCGAACCAUCUGGUAGCUGGUUCCCUCUGAAGUUUCCCUCAGGAUAGCUGGCACACAGAAACCCCAGUUUUAUCGGGUAAAGUGAAUAAUUAGAGGUCUUGGGACUUAAAUGAUCUCAUCCUGUUCUCAAACUUUAAAUGGGUAAGAAGUCCGGCUUGCUGGCAUCGAAUGCAAUCGCGUAGUGGGCCACUUGUGGUAAGCAGAACUGACGCAGUGGGAUGAACCGAACGCUGGGUUAAGGUGCCCAAUGCCCACGCUAAUCACACCCCAGAAAAGGUGUUGGUUGAUAUAGACAGCAGGACGAUGGCCUUGGAAGUCGGAAUCUGCUAAGCAGUGUGUAACAACUCACCUGCUGAAUCAACUGCCCUGAACAUGGAUGGCGCCGGAGCCUCUGUCCCAUACCGGGCCCGCUAUGGGGGCUAAGCUGCGACAAGUAGGAGGGCAGCACACAGAAGCCUGGGGUGAGGGCCCGGGUGGAGCCGCCACAUGAGCUGAUCUUGGUGGUUGUAGCAAAUAUUCAAACAAAAGGGUUCCACGUGAACAGCAGCUGAACAUGGGUCAGUCAGUCCUAAGAAAUGGUUGAGCGCCAUUCUGAAGGGACAAGUGAUGGCCUCUGUUGCCCUCAGCCGAUCAAAAGGGAGUCUGAUUCAGAUCCCCAGACCUGGAGUGGCGGAGACGGGUGCCCUUGCAGCGUCCAGUGCGGUAGCACAAAUGAUCCCAGAGCAGCUGGUGGGAUCCCCGGAGAGAGUUCUGUUUUCUUUGUGAAGGGCAGGGCACCCUGGAGUGGGUUCACCCUGAGAGAGGCACCCAAGACUGGGAAAGCGCUGCAUCGCCCGGUGAGCUCUCGCUGGUCCUCAAAAAUCCGGGGCGAUGGUGUAAAUCUUGCACCGGGCCGUAUAUAUCUGCAGCAGUUCGGGGUAAACAGCCUCUGGCAUGUUGGAACAAUUUAUGUGGGAAGCCGGGACUGGGCGCGCGCUGCAGGCUGGACGAGGCCACCCUUGCCGACUCUGGAUGUGAGCCUGGCCCUUCCUGUGGAUCUCCGCAGAUGCGGUGGUCACCUCUCUCUGUUCCGUUCCCCUCCCGCGGUUCGAUGCCGGCGUUCUGCCUCAGCUGACGCCUAGCAGCUGGCUUUGAACUGGUGCAGACCACGGGAAUCCGACUGUUAAAUUAAAACAAAGCAUUGCGUAAAGCCCACGGUGAGUGUUGACGCAAUGUGAUUUCUGCCCAGUGGUCUGAAUAUCAAAGUGAAGAAAUUCAAUGAAGCACAAGUGAACGACGAGAGUAACUAUGACUCUCUUAAGGUAGCCAAAUGGCUUGUCAUCUAAUUAGUGACCUGCAUGAAUGGAUGAACGAGAUUCUCACUGUCCCUACCUAUCUAGCAAACCACAGCCAAGGGAAUGGGCUUGGCCAAAUCAGUGGGGACAGAAGACCCUGCUGAGAUUCACUCUAGUCUGGCACAGCGAAGAGACAUGAGCAGUGUAGGAUAAGUACCACUACUCUUAUCGUUUUUGACUUAAUCAGUGAGGUGGGUUGGCGAGCCCCCUGGGACUCUCGCUUCGGGCUCCAAGUGCCCGCCGCUCCCCGGACAUGACCUGCUCCGGGGACAAUGGCAGGUGGGGAGUUUGACUGGAGCGAUACACUUGGCAAACCAUAACGCAGGUGUCCUAAGGCGAGCUCAGGGAGGACAGAAACCUCCUAUGGAUUAAAAGGGCAAAAGCUUGCUUCAUCUCGAUUUUCUGUAUGAAUACAGACUGUGAAAGCGGGGCCUCAGGAUCCUUCUAACUUUUCAGUUUCAAGUAGGAGGUGUCAGAAAAGUUACCACAGGGAUAACUUGCUUGUGGUGGCCAAGUGUUCAUAGCGACGACGCUUUUUGAUCCUUCGAUGUCGGCUCUUCUUAGCAUUGCGAAGCAGAAUUCACCAAGCAUUGGAUUGUUCACCCACUAAUAGGGAACAUGAGUUGGGUUUAGACUGUCGUGACACCGGUUAGUUUUACCCUACUGAUGAUGUGUUGUUGCAAUAGUAAUCCUGCUCAGUAUGAGAGGAACUGCAGGUUCAGACAGUUGGUGUAUGUGAUUGGCUGAGGAGCCAAUGGGGUGAUGCUACGAUCUGUGGGGUUAUGACUGAACGCCUCUAAGUCGGAAUUCACCCCCUCCCUCCAAGCUUAACAGUACUGUAGCGCUGUGGAGCCUCGGUUGGCCUAAGAUAGCCGGACUCUGGGCCGGUGCGUAGAGGUGCUCGCCUCUGGACUUGAGUGUGAACAGAAAGGGGCCACCUCUUUUGCCUGUAGUGCACCACAUGUUCGUGGGCAACCU
rnacentral:rRNA from 1 species